rnacentral:rRNA from 1 species
UACGAGGGGGGCGAGCGUUGUUCGGAAUUAUUGGGCGUAAAGGGUGCGUAGGCGGUUUUGGUAAGUCUCUUGUGAAAUCUAUGGGCUCAACUCAUAGUCUGCAAGGAACUGCCGGGCUUGAGUGUGGGAGAGGUGGAGUGGAAUUUCCGGUGUAGCGGUGAAAUGCGUAGAUAUCGGAAGGAACACCUGUGGCGAAAGCGGCUCACUGGACCACAACUGACGCUGAUGCACGAAAGCUAGGGGAGCAAACAGG